rfam:Chlorocebus sabaeus isolate 1994-021 chromosome 10, whole genome shotgun sequence.
GUGCUUGCUUUGGCAGCACAUAUACUAAAACUGAAACAAUGCAGAGAUUAGCAUGGCCCUUGUACAAGCAUGACAUACAAAUAUUUAGUGAAUCAUUCAUAGUUUUA